CCAAGUUCAAACCCAGGAUGGAAUUGGGAUGAAGAAGGAGAGAUAUUCUUUAAACAUUUUUUAAUAGAGAAGAAGAAAAAUUGACUGGAAGUGCUCAAACUGCAGCUAGAUAAGGUCUCACUUUGUCACCCAGGCUGGAGUGCAGUGGUGCGAUCUCGGUUUACUACAGCCUGGACCUCCUGGGCUCAAGGGAUCCUCCCACCUCAGCUCCCUACCCUCAAGUAGCUGGGACUACAGGAUCCCCUGAAAUGCUGGGCACACUGACUAGCCUCUUGUAUAGAGUCUCAAGCCUGUGGCCAGAAGCAGCUGUGUGAAGUAGCCGCUGUGAUGGAUUGGGACCACAGAUACCACUUUGGAAGGAAAGGUUCCAGAAACCAAAGCUUGGGCCAUGGGUCUCUGGGAAACUGCAGCAGGAGUUUAGAGUCUAAUGGAUGGAACACAGAAGCAGGAAAAAAAUUGCUGUAGAAUAUGAUAAAGAUUAAUAGAGGUAUGUACAAAGCACAUUGGGGAUAG
rnacentral:lncRNA from 10 species